UCAGGGAGCGAACCCAAGGCUGGGUCUGCCCUGUGCCUAGCACACGGCGGGUACCCAGCAAAUGCGUGAGUGCACUGAAAAGCCACUGGGUGAGGGUCCUGGCAGAGAAGAAGAGUUGAGAAAACAGCUUGGAGAUGACUCCAACCAAACACGGGCUCCUGACCCACUGCUGCCAAACCCUCAUCACUAACCAACUUCCGCUGGUGCAGAUGGCCAUUGGGCUGAUGGGCUGAGGGUCCCUCUGCCCUCACUGUGCAUCCUUGCAAAGAGACAGUUCUCAGCUGGCCCGGGAUAACUAACAGUCAAGGGCUAGUGCUUGUCAAAUGCAUUUGGGUCCCACCUGGGGUUAGGACCAUAUCUCGGUUUAAAGGAAUACAUUUGAGGUUUUCUCUCUAGGGGCCCAUCCACUCCUUUUCAAAUACUGCCCCUGAAGUGUGCACCACACUUCACAGUUUAGAGACCUCGCUAUUCCCAAUCUUCCAUUCCAGGACAUUUUCCAGACAGAGGUGGCUCCCAAGCCUGGAACAGGGAAGGUGGAUCAUGAAACAACAAAUCUGAGAGCAGAGGCAGCACUCAUGGACAGUGGCCUGGCAACGCCUGAAUUCCACCCUAAGAGCUGAAAACGCAACUCCUGGAUCUGUUCUAGUUUCCACAGGGGACAGCUGAGUGCCAAGCCACCUCAGGCCAGAUUUGUUUUUUGGUCUCACCCCACAGGUCCGGGAGGAAGGCCUCUGCAUUUUCUGGGGCAGCCUGAGGACCCCGUAGCCCCAACCCGUGAACAGGUUCUGGCAGCCUGGAGAGGGCACGACCCCCUCCCCCCUCCCCCCUGCACCUCUCCACC